GAUGAACGCUGACAGAAUGCUUAGCACAUGCAAGUCAACUUGAACUUCGGUUUGGGUGGCGGACGGGUGAGUAACGCGUAAAGAACUUGCCUCACAGAUAGGGACAACAUUUGGAAACGAAUGCUAAUACCUGAUAUUAUGAUUUUAGGGCAUCCUAGGAUUAUGAAAGCUAUAUGCGCUGUGAGAGAGCUUUGCGUCCCAUUAGCUAGUUGGAGAGGUAACGGCUCACCAAGGCGAUGAUGGGUAGCCGGCCUGAGAGGGUGAUCGGCCACAAGGGGACUGAGACACGGCCCUUACUCCUACGGGAGGCAGCAGUGGGGAAUAUUGGACAAUGGACCAAGAGUCUGAUCCAGCAAUUCUGUGUGCACGAUGAAGUUUUUCGGAAUGUAAAGUGCUUUCAGUUGGGAAGAAAAAAAUGACGGUACCAACAGAAGAAGUGACGGCUAAAUACGUG
rnacentral:rRNA from 1 species